rnacentral:rRNA from 1 species
UGAAUACGAGACGCUAAGGCGUCGAAGUAGUGUAUGUCAUACUUCCAAGAAAAGCUUGCACUGUCAUAGAUAAAAAACGCCUGUACCAUAACCGACACAGGUGGGUAGGUAGAGUAUACUAAGGGGCGCGAGAUAACUCUCUCUAAGGAACUCGGCAAAAUAACUCCGUAACUUCGGGAGAAGGAGUGCCUUAUUCGUAAGGUUGCAAUAACAAGAUCCAAGCAACUGUUUAUCAAAAACACAGGUCUCCGCUAAGUCGUAAGACGAUGUAUGGGGGCUGACGCCUGCCCAGUGCCAGAAGGUUAAAGAAGUUGGUUAGCAAUUGCGAAGCUGAUAACUGAAGCCCUGGUGAACGGCGGCCGUAACAAUAACGGUCCUAAGGUAGCGAGAUUCCUUGUCGGGUAAGUUCCGACCCGCACGAAAGGCGUAAUGAUUUGGAUACUGUCUCGGAGAGGGGCUCGGUGAAAUAGACUUGUCUGUGAAGAUGCGGACUACCUGCACCAGGACAGAAAGACCCUAUGAAGCUUUACUGUAACUUGAAAUUGAAAUUGGACUUUGUUCGCGCAGUAUAGGUGGGAGGCGUUGAUUAUAAUCUUGUGGGAUUAUUGGAGCCAUCAGUGAGAUACCACUCUUGUAAUGUUAGAUUUCUAACUUUGAAUCAUUAUCUGGUCAAAGAACAGUUUCAGGCGGGCAGUCUGACUGGGGCGGUCGCCUCCUAAACGGUAACGGAGGCGUACAAAGGUUUCCUCUGAACGGUUAGAAAUCGUAUCUAGAGUGUAAAGGCAUAAGGAAGCUUGACUGUGAGACCUACAAGUCGAGCAGGGACGAAAGUCGGUCUUAGUGAUCUGACGGUACUGAGUGGAAAGGCCGUCACUCAACGGAUAAAAGUUACUCUAGGAUAACAGGCUGAUCUCCCCCAAGAGUUCACAUCGACGGGGAGGUUUGGCACCUCGAUGUCGGCUCAUCGCAUCCUGGGGCGGUAGUACGUCCCAAGGGUUGGGCUGUUCGCCCAUGAAAGCGGUACGCGAGCUGGGUUCAGAACGUCGUGAGACAGUUCGGUCCAUAUCCGGUGUAGGCGUUAGAAUAUUGAGAGGAGCCUUCUUUAGUACGAGAGGACCGAGAAGGACGUACCUCUGGUGUACCAGUUAUCGUGCCAACGGUAAACGCUGGGUAGCUAUGUAUGGAGUGGAUAACCGCUGAAAGCAUCUGAGUGGGAAGCCCACCUCAAGAUAAG